rnacentral:tRNA from 1 species
GGUUGUAGCUCAGUGGUAGAACACUUGCCUAGCAUGUUUGAGGUCCUGGGUUCGAUCCCCAGCACCA